rnacentral:rRNA from 1 species
GACGAACCGUCCAAACGUUAUUCGGAAUCACUGGGCUUACAGAGUUCGUAGGCGGUCCAGAAAGUUGGGUGUGAAAUCCCUCGGCUUAACCGAGGAACUGCGCUUGAAACUACUGGACUCGAGGGAGAUAGAGGAAAGCGGAACUGAUGGUGGAGCGGUGAAAUGCGUUGAUAUCAUCAGGAACACCGGUGGCGAAGGCGGCUUUCUGGGUCUUACCUGGACGCUGAGGAACGAAAGCCAGGGGAGCGAACGGGA